rnacentral:rRNA from 1 species
AAAAACAUCGCCUCCCGCAAAAUCUCAAUGUAUAGGAGGUCCUGCCUGCCCAGUGAACUAGUUUAAACGGCCGCGGUAUCUUGACCGUGCAAAGGUAGCGCAAUCACUUGUCUUUUAAAUGAAGACCUGUAUGAAUGGUGGAACGAGGGCUUAACUGUCUCCCCCCUUAGGUCAGUGAAAUUGAUCUACCCGUGCAGAAGCGGGUAUAAAAAUACAAGACGAGAAGACCCUUUGGAGCUUAAGACACCAAGACCACUUAUGUCAAAAAUCCGCUACAAAGCAGAUUAAACCUAGUAAUACCUGGUCCCAGUCUUCGGUUGGGGCGACCGCGGGGGAAAACAAAGCCCCCAUGUGGAAUGGGAAAAUACCCUAAAACCAAGAGAGACAUCUCUAAGACACAGAACAUCUGACCAUUAUAGAUCCGGCUAUACAGCCGAUCAACGGACCAAGUUACCCUAGGGAUAACAGCGCAAUCCCCUCCCAGAGUCCCUAUCGACAAGGGGGUUUACGACCUCGAUGUUGGAUCAGGACAUCCUAAUGGUGCAGCCGCUAUUAAGGGUUCGUUUGUUCAACGAUUAAAGUCCUACGUGAUCUGAG